GACGAACGCUGGCGGCGUGCCUAAUACAUGCAAGUAGAACGCUGAAGGAGGAGCUUGCUUCUCUGGAUGAGUUGCGAACGGGUGAGUAACGCGUAGGUAACCUGCCUGGUAGCGGGGGAUAACUAUUGGAAACGAUAGCUAAUACCGCAUAAGAGUAGAUGUUGCAUGACAUUUGCUUAAAAGGUGCAAUUGUAUCACUACCAGAUGGACCUGCGUUGUAUUAGCUAGUUGGUGGGGUAACGGCUCACCAAGGCGACGAUACAUAGCCGACCUGAGAGGGUGAUCGGCCACACUGGGACUGAGACACGGCCCAGACUCCUACGGGAGGCAGCAGUAGGGAAUCUUCGGCAAUGGACGGAAGUCUGACCGAGCAACGCCGCGUGAGUGCAGAAGGUUUUCGGAUCGUAAAGCUCUGUUGUAAGAGAAGAACGAGUGUGAGAGUGGAAAGUUCACACUGUGACGGUAUCUUACCAGAAAGGGACGGCUAACUACGUG
rnacentral:rRNA from 1 species